GGAGUAGAGUUUAAUGUGGGGGGAAAGCCCCAGCACCCACCCAUCCACCCCUUGAGAUGCAAGUUUUCUUGGGCCUCAAGCAUUUGUCAUCAGGAUGACUCAACAAAAGAGCCUUGCAUCCUCAUGAGGGGCCUUGGAAUCUACAGCCCUCUGGCAGAUGGUAAUAACCACAUUCCGGAUAAACCCUGGAGUGGGACUACUCUGGAAGGGGAGAGACUUUGAAGAGACCUGGCUGGAAGGCCAAGUCACAAGGAAGAGGUGAUCCACUGCAGAGGCAGAGCAGCCACUGGCAGCAGAUCACUGGAGAGAGAGCUGCUAUGCCAUACCCAUCCAGAAAGAGCCACCAACAGUGAGUUAACCCCUUCAUAACUCCUAUCAGUAGGAAGCUGCUGAUCCCAUUAU